rnacentral:pre_miRNA from 1 species
AAAGUACUCCCUCUAUCCCAAAAUUCUUGUCUUAGAUUUGUCUAGAUACGGAUGUAUCAAGUCACAUUUUAGUAUUAGAUACAUCUGUAUCAAGACAAAUAUAAGACAAGAAAUUUGGGACAGAGGGAGUAGUUG